CUGGCUCAGAUUGAACGCUGGCGGCAGGCCUAACACAUGCAAGUCGAGCGGUAGAGAGAAGCUUGCUUCUCUUGAGAGCGGCGGACGGGUGAGUAAUGCCUAGGAAUCUGCCUGGUAGUGGGGGAUAACGCUCGGAAACGGACGCUAAUACCGCAUACGUCCUACGGGAGAAAGCAGGGGACCUUCGGGCCUUGCGCUAUCAGAUGAGCCUAGGUCGGAUUAGCUAGUUGGUGAGGUAAUGGCUCACCAAGGCGACGAUCCGUAACUGGUCUGAGAGGAUGAUCAGUCACACUGGAACUGAGACACGGUCCAGACUCCUACGGGAGGCAGCAGUGGGGAAUAUUGGACAAUGGGCGAAAGCCUGAUCCAGCCAUGCCGCGUGUGUGAAGAAGGUCUUCGGAUUGUAAAGCACUUUAAGUUGGGAGGAAGGGCAGUAAAUUAAUACUUUGCUGU
rnacentral:rRNA from 1 species